rnacentral:misc_RNA from 1 species
AACGCACCUUGCGCUCCUUGGUAUUCCGAGGAGCAUGCCUGUUUGAGUGUCAUUAAUAUAUCAACCUCUUCAACUUUUGAAAAGUUUAUCGAGUGUUGGAUAUGGGGGUUUUUGUUUUGCUGGUCUUAUCACAAAGGUCAGCUCCCCUCAAAUGUAUUAGCGGAACAUUUUGUGGAACGUUCAUUGGUGUGAUAACUAUCUACGCUAUUGACGUGAAACAGUUCAGCUUCUAACAGUCCAUUGACUUGGACAAAUUUUUAUUAAUGUGACCUCAAAUCAGGUAGGACUACCCGCUGAACUUAA